rnacentral:lncRNA from 1 species
GAUUCGAGCUCGGAUCUAUAGGUUAACCUAAUUGAUUCUAAUCAACCAAUUUGGUGUUUAAGGCAAGUCUUGGAUAGUGAUUCUUUAAUUAGUUUCAUUGUCUGACCUCGUCAAUUCGUUGGUAUCUAAAAAUAGCAGUGGAGGGACCCCCACUCAUCUUCACUAACCUGACCAUUUUAGGAGAUUAUAUUUUGUAUUAGGUUACUUGUUGACUUGAGUUCACCCAUGC